AACGCACGAGACCUGCGGACCUGCGGAAGGAUCAUUACCAAUUUUAUAUUAUUAGUUUGUAUCCGGCUCACUAGUGGGGUUGGUAUACAUUACUACUACUGUAAAUGUUGAACUGGAUCGAUUGGUGUGGAUUGCUUGGGAAUGGAAGAAGCGACAAGCCUCUUCCGGACAGGCAAACCCCACACUGAUAACCCUUUUUCAUAUAUACUACUACUAAUACAUACUACAAACAAACAAAAA
rnacentral:misc_RNA from 1 species